CACUGAGACUCUGUCUCAAAAAAUAAAAAAUAAAAAUAAAAACAAGAAGAAAAGAAAAAGAAAAAAAAAAUCUAAGAUUGCAUUUGUGGAAAUAAUAGGUAUUACUGUUACAUGAAGUGGUAACACUGGCCCAGGAGAGAGUUAUAUACACAAUUGGCCUCAUGUCUCUCUAGACAGGGCAAAUAAGAAAUAAUGAAAACCAAGUAAUGGAAUCACAUCCCUUUCAACCUGAAAGCCCAAAUUUUUCAGUAAGCAUAGCUCAUGAUCUAAGCCUAGUCAAGUUUAUAAUUACUUUGUGAGGGAAACAUGGAUGCAGGCUGCUUGAAGAAUCUUGACUUUGGUCUUACAGAAGCAUCAGAAACUAGUGAAACCAAGUACGCAAGGGGUGAAACAGACAGCGAAGCAUUGGGUCUUAGAACCCUGUGACUUGCCCAGCUGGAUUAGACCUUAGGCCAAAGCCUCUGCCCUGUCCUUUCCAUUUUAAGUAACAGAGAACCUUGGUAGAGGGAGCCGAGGAAUGACAGAUAAACUCCAGAAAGCUCAGUCAUGUCUUACUCUCUUUUGUGAGCUAAUGUUUCCCUCUGGAGUCUGAGGGGUCUUAGACGAUGGUAUCUAACAAGUCUUAAUGACCAUCCUUUUAAGACACGGAGCUUUUGAUCCAAAAGUCACUUCCAGUAAAAAAGCAGAUGGUCUCGGUUUAAGUCAAGCAAUCAGCUCACACGUACUUACUACAUACAUAAACAAGCGUCCAGGAGGCCACACCACAGUCAAGUGGCCACUGUCUCCUUAGUAGCUCUUCUGCUCUCUUUCCUCACAUUUCUGCAAGGUCUCUCUCUCACUCCAUCACCCACUAUCUCUGCCUCCUCUCUUCUCUUUAUCCAAAGCCUGAUGGCCUGAGAACUGCUCCUGGAAAUCACCACAGAUCAGCCCCCAGGUCUGUUCUGUUCUGGAGAGUCUUAAUUAGGACAGUUUUUGAUGACGUCUUCUCCAAACAUUAGAAAAAUGCCUCUUCUCAAGUUAUUUCUCUAAAGCAACUAGAUACACACAAGAGAAAGACAAAAGACCUUUGAAAGGAUGUCCAAAUCCUUUAAAUCAUUUACUUUAGAAUUAUCAGACUGUUAAGAAGAGAUAGAAAGCAAUGGGAUUGGAUUUGGUAACUUCUUUAUUACAGACUGUUCCCAACUUACAAUGUUUGCCUUAGGAUUUUUCAACUUCACAGUAGGUUUAACAGGGUUGGUAAAUGCAUUUUUGACUCACGGUAUUUUCGACCUACAAUGGGUUACUGGAACACAGCCCCAUCCUAAAUGGAAGAACAUCUGUAUUUUGAGGCGACACCCAAAUUCUCCAACCAUGACAUUCUCCAAGGGUUGCACAAAUCCCACCUUGCUGACUGGAGUUCUCAUGAGUCAUAUUUUCACACUAGACCACUUCUCCCGACAUGCCCCUUUCUACUGUCCACUUCUUAAAGUUGUUAGUUAUGACUCUGGACAAGGAUGAGCUCUGUUUGCAGUGGUAACUCCCAGAGGGCCAAAGACAGCAGAACACCCGAUCGUUGGCACGCAAUUUCAAGUUAUAUUCCAGGAAACAAAUCUAACCAUUUCCCUCUCCAGUCUUCUAAACUUGAAUUUACAUUAACCACUCCGAGCUCUAGGCACAGCUUCGUUCUGAUAGGAUCAUUUGCCUUAAGCUAUAUAUCAUUACUUAAUAAAGCCACUUGAGACAGAAAUCAUAAUCUGGGUAUGUAAAUUUUUAAUAUUUGGUUUUCAAGUAUUUCAACUUUACAUAAGAUUUAGAUUUUAAAAAAACUUUUGGUUUCCCACUUGCUUUUUCAAAGACACAUUUACGUGUCCCUGGUCCCCAUCUCUUGAGAAAUAAGGAAGAUCCUCUAUGUUUAGUUCUAGUAAGUGUUGAUAGCACAAGGGGGAAAAGGCUUGAGGGAAAGGACUUUGUUUCUAAUUAGGUUUAUAAAGUAGCAAGUUCAUCAUUCCUCAAUCUACAUGCGAGUGUAGAGUUUAAAGUAUUUAAACUAGAAAGUAGCCAUUUCAACCUUGUAAGUUAUUCAAAUGCACAGCUGCUUGCACCUGUCAUUUAAUACAUCUGAUGAAUCACUAGAUCAAAUCUCUAAAUAGAAAUCAUUUCCCAUGGAAACCUCCAGAAGGUACCCAUAUGGCUGAGAAGGGCACAGGAAGCAAAGAAAUGCUUUUAAAUGUAGCCACGCACACAAAACACACGUCUCAUGUGUCUCCUAUACAUUCCGAGUUGAAAAGUAAUUUCCAAUUUAAAAAAAGAUAGAGUGGUAUGAAUUCAUACAUACUCAUACAUGUAUAUGUACACAUAUGUAUGCAUAUGCACAUACAUGAGAUAGAAAUUUCUCUGUAGGACCUAAGAUAUUUCUGGAUUUUGUUUUUUAUUUUUGUUUUACAUCUGUGGGUUAGUAUCAACUUCCCUAGCAAAGCAAGGGGAGAGGCACGGAAUAAAACGCACCUUUGCGCUUUCUGGAAACCAGAACGCCUUUGACUCACCUUCUGCCUCCGGCUCUGCCUUAGACUCAGGCUCUGAGAUUAGCAAGAAAUAAAUCUCCCUGCCUGCAGGCAGGGUCACACUCACACCCUCCUGACACUCAGAAUCUGCUCCCUUUACAAAGUCUUAGAAAACUGAAUCCCUGGAUUGUUUCUACAGCCAAACUGGAUGGUUACUGACACUCGGGGUAAAGAAAUCAUUCCUCCUGUCUAAGCUAAAUGCCAUAAACUCUGCUUGAGUCUCUUCUCUGAUAGGUCCUCUUUUUCCUGUGGCUGUAUAUUCACUUUCAAGAAAGCAGAGUUAUUUAGUUCAGAUGAUCUAUCUUUAAACAUGCAUAUCCCAAAGGGGGCAAAUCCUUGGUAUUUUGUAUAGCUCAUAAUUGUACUUAUUCUCAAUACAAUAAAGGAAAGGUGCCACCUUUAUAAAAGAAUAAACAAACAGAUAAAUCCUAGUAUUUUACAUUAAUUAUGCUCAAGGCCAAACUGAAGCACAAGUACAUAUAGUAUAGUUGACUUAUCUAGAUAUAAAACAUAACAUUUGUUAAGUAAUAUCCUGAAAUAAGACACUGCAUUCCACAUGACAUUUGGUAAGAUCUACUCAUGCAUGUAUGUGGGAAAAAGCUACCGGAGGAUAUAUCCCUGUUCCCUUCAUCUCCCCAGCUUCUCACUAGUCUUGGCUGCAUCCGACAGACCAGCUGGUCAUCAGAUUACUAGC